UACGUAGGGUGCAAGCGUUGUCCGGAAUUAUUGGGCGUAAAGAGCUCGUAGGCGGUCUGUCGCGUCUGCUGUGAAAAUCCAGGGCUCAACCCUGGACCUGCAGUGGGUACGGGCAGACUAGAGUGCGGUAGGGGAGAUCGGAAUUCCUGGUGUAGCGGUGGAAUGCGUAGAGAUCCGGAGGAAGACCGGUGGCGAAGGCGGUCUGCUGGGCAGUUUCUGACACUGAUGCGCGACAGCGUGGGGAGCAAACAGG
rnacentral:rRNA from 1 species